AAUCAACGCUGGCGGCGUGCCUAACACAUGCAAGUCGAGCGCGAAAGGGGGCAACCCCGAGUAGAGCGGCGAACGGGUGAGUAACGCGUGGGUGAUUUGCCUCCGAGUGGGGAACAACACCGGGAAACUGGUGCUAAUACCGCAUGACAUCCUCGGGUCGUACUGAGGAUCAAAGCUGGGGACCGCAAGGCCUAGCGCUUGGAGAGAAGCCCGCGUCCGAUUAGCUAGUUGGGGGGUAAUGGCCUACCAAGGCGACGAUCGGUAGCCGGCCUGAGAGGGCGGACGGCCACACUGGGACUGAGACACGGCCCAGACUCCUACGGGAGGCAGCAGUGGGGAAUUUUUCGCAAUGGGGGAAACCCCUGACGAAGCAACGCCGCGUGGAGGAUGAAGGCCUUCGGUC
rnacentral:rRNA from 1 species